GCUUGUUUCUGCUCUAUCGAGAAUCCUGUGAUGAACCGAGCUCUCGUAGCCCCAGUAAUGUCCAUUCUCCUAGCACAGAAUAAUUUUUCAGUUCUGCUCAGUGUCACCGCUGAUGGAGCAUUUCCUGCUUUUCUUGUGGAUUGUCUCAGUCUUGCCCUUGUAUUUGAGCAACAGGGGCUUCUGCAUCCAGAGCAUCACUUUAGAGGAUUUUGCUCAGAUUUUCACCAUGGGACAAGCAAUUCGAGGUAUUAGACUCACACAGCUUGGAGGAACAUGAUUCGGGUUCAAAAUGACAUGAGAAGGUUGUGGUGAUCCUGAGGGCAGGCUUUCCGUCUCCCGGAUGGGAAAGAAUUUACGUCUUUAGUGGCAAAC
rnacentral:lncRNA from 1 species